rnacentral:tRNA from 1 species
GGGCUUAUGGUACAGUGGUAACACACCGCAUUCGCAUUGCGGAGACGCGAGUUCGAUUCUCGCUAAGUCCA